UGAUGCCCCUCUCCCACCCCUGAAGAUCCCAGGUGGGCGAGGGAAUGACCAACGGGAUC
rfam:Oreochromis niloticus linkage group LG23, whole genome shotgun sequence.